AAGAACAAAACUGUCGAUAACAACAUAAGAAUCGCAGGAACCCCAAAACCGACCUUCCAUCCCGCAUGAUCUUGAAUAUACACAAUGCCAGUGAAAGCAACCAAAACCGCAGCCGCACCAGCAGCAUAAUACCACCCGAAAAAGCUUUCUAACGCUCUCUCGUUGUUAGGAUUGUUCUUAUCGUCUAUUUGUUCGGCACCAAAGGCUAAAGAACACGGUCGUACACCACCUGACCCCAUCGAGAUGAAUACGAAAGCAAAGAUCAGAAAAGCAAACUGAGAAUGUGUGGUUUGUUUGCAGGUUUCGGUUAGUGGCUUGCAUGGAGGUGGUUUUAGAUGUGGAAUCAUUGUUGUUAACCAGAGCAAGAACAUCCCCUAAGUGAAAAGCAGGAACCUAAACCAAUGGUGAGAAACCGACCCAGAUAAGAAUCUGAAAGAAAUGCACCCAAAACAGGAGCAAAAUUGGAAGCUGCAGUCCAAAGAAAGAGUAUGUUUGUGCCUUUAG
rnacentral:lncRNA from 1 species